rnacentral:tRNA from 1 species
GGGCCGGUAGCUUAGCUUGGUAGAGCGCUUGACUUUUAAUCAAGCGGUCGAGGGUUCAAAUGAGCGAUGUGUAGAUUAUCAUAAUCCAGUCACUCGCUCUGAUCGUCCCUUCCGGCCCG